GGCUUCUUAGUUUAGUGGUUAUAAUGUCAGUUUUACACACUGAAGGUCGCCAGUUCGAUCCUGGCAGAAGUCA